rnacentral:rRNA from 1 species
UCCUGGCUCAGGAUGAACGCUGGCGGCGUGCUUAACACAUGCAAGUCGAACGAAGCACUUUAUUUGAUUUCCUUCGGACGGAUCUGAUUUAACUUAGUGGCGGACGGGUGAGUAAUGCGUGAGCAACCUGCCCUUCAGAGGGGGACAACAGUUGGAAACGACUGCUAAUACCGCAUAAUGUAUCCGGGAGGCAUCUCCUGGAUACCAAAGGAGAAAUCCGCUGAUGGAUGGGCUCACGUCUGAUUAGCUAGUUGGUGAGGUAACGGCUCACCAAGGCUGCGAUCAGUAGCCGGACUGAGAGGUUGAACGGCCACAUUGGGACUGAGAUACGGCCCAGACUCCUACGGGAGGCAGCAGUGGGGAAUAUUGGGCAAUGGGCGAAAGCCUGACCCAGCAACGCCGCGUGAAGGAAGAAGGCCUUCGGGUUGUAAACUUCUUUUAAGAGGGACGAAGAAGUGACGGUACCUCUUGAAUAAGCCACGGCUAACUACGUG